rnacentral:rRNA from 1 species
GAUCAUGGCUCAGGAUGAACGCUAGCUACAGGCUUAACACAUGCAAGUCGAGGGGCAGCGUGAACUUAGCUUGCUAAGUUUGAUGGUGACCGGCGCACGGGUGAGUAACACGUAUCCAACCUGCCGAUGACUCGGGGAUAGCCUUUCGAAAGAAAGAUUAAUACCCGAUGGCAUAGUUCUUCCGCAUGGUAGAACUAUUAAAGAAUUUCGGUCAUCGAUGGGGAUGCGUUCCAUUAGG